UACGUAGGGUGCAAGCGUUAAUCGGAAUUACUGGGCGUAAAGCGUGCGCAGGCGGUUCGCUAAGACAGAUGUGAAAGCCCCGGGCUUAACCUGGGAAUUGCAUUGGAAACUAGCGGGCUGGAGUGUGGCAGAGGGGGGUGGAAUUCCACGUGUAGCAGUGAAAUGCGUAGAGAUGUGGAGGAACACCGAUGGCGAAGGCAGCCCCCUGGGCUAACACUGACGCUCAUGCACGAAAGCGUGGGGAGCAAACAGG
rnacentral:rRNA from 1 species